UUCCCUCCUUCAGAGAAGAAGGCGGUAAAAAUGCUGCAAUAAACAGCAUCUAACACUGAUUUAUACCUUAUCAAGAAACAUCUGUGCAGCAGGCUUGUACUCAACCAUACGAAGCCAGUACCUAUUGCAGAUGAGACAGAGGCAGAGAGCUCAUUUUAAUUUCAUUACUCAACAUAUUUAGCUGUGUAAACAAAUCCUAAUCUAAAUUGCUGUUGUGUUAUCCAAAUAACUUGAUUAUGAAAACAGUAUGCUAGACUUUCUGCAAGGCAAAAAGAAUGGGUGCCAUUUAGGCAUCAGAAAAACCUACAUGGUUAUUUUUAAACCAUCAUCUACUAAAAUCCAUAAAUACAGCAUAGCCCAUUUGAUGUUUCUCAGUCUCCUUAAUCCUUCACCUUUUCAGAAUUCUCAGUGAUGACAUGAGAAGGAGGAGGAGGAGGAGAAGGAGGACUUCCCUGAACUGCACUGAGCAGUACUUGUUCCAAGACAGGAGAUGAUUGAUGCUGUCACACAGGCCGGCAGAUAAUGUGGAUCCUAAUUGAUGAAAUUAUCUGUGGAGAGAGUACCAUAACCUGUGUGCUCUAUGAAAGAACUAAGUCUCUUGGGAAAACAGGAGAACAUCUGUGGUGAAGAUCAACCUGCUCUGAAGACCUAUUGUUCUGGCAAGGAUUCACCACAAGCAGCAAAGCAGACCUCAGAUCAGAAGGCAUCAGUGUUCCCCUUUAUGCUCCUGUCCUCGGGCAAAUAUGAUCUUCCCUUCAAAGCUUCACCUUAAUUUUACUGGGAAAUUUGCUAUGGAUAGUAGUAAACUCUCAAACCAUGUGAUCCCUUGUGGGUGCCGACAGAGAUCCCAUUAGAAUCCCAAGGUUGUAAAAGCCAUGGUUUAUUUUAUUGCUGGUCAGAGACACAGGAUGCCAACAGGACCUCAGAGACUGGACUGAUCCUGGUGGGAGUGUGACUGAGGAAGGUCCUUGGGACAGUCAGUGACCAGCUCUGACAAAGAAAGGGCUGUCCUCUGCUGUCACUUGGCUUUUCUCAAGACACAUUUAGCACAAAGGUGGGUGAACUGGCUUGAAGACCAACAACAAUGUCACUGCCAAGAUGAAUUCACACAGUCCUGUAGAGAUGGGAAUUUUCUGCGGCUUUGGAGCUGGCAUGGCUGAGAGAGCUGAAGGCAUCAGAUAAGUGUAUCAGAACACACAACUGCUCAAUAUCACUGCAUCAAGGGCACUGAUGCUUCAGUCCCUUGAUGCUGAGGCUUGCCUGUUUUGGGACGUCUGGGACCUGUGUUCCUCCAGGCACACACCUGGGGACAGCAGCAGCCACUGCAAUUGCUGAGAGCCUGAUGCAGAUGCUAGGAAGAUGGAAAGGUCCCAGCAUCACCAUGACACAACUCUCCCUGCAGCAGAAAGUGGCUGAGAAGGUGAAUUUUGUGUGGAGAGAAGCAGGAGUAUUCUGUAUUUUCAGCAAGAAAUCUCAAGCAAGACUGCAUUGACAAGGGCCUGAGGCAUACAGCAAAAACAUCAGUGGUAAAUCUCAAUGAAAACAGGCAUCAACCCCAUGCUUUACUUGGGGAAUCAUUUUCCAGCCCCACUCAGAGUAAAUUUUCCCCUUUUCUCUACCCCUCAGCAAUUAUCCUAAUCCUAUCCUGGGCCUCCAAGUAACCAACUCAGCCUCUCAACAAUAAAAGGCUCUCUAUGCCUGACUAUUUUUGCCACCCUCAGGAUGCUGUGGCAGUCCCUGUCCAUCCCCACACCAAAGAUAGCUCUGAGUUUUUUCCUUCUCUCCCUCAGCCCUAACCACUGACUUCUCAAUCCUGGCCAGUGACUGACUCCUAAGACAGUGUCCCCACUGCCCAGAUACUCAGUAUUCCUCAGAGAUGGAUUCUGCUAUUAGCUUUCAUUUUCCUUGGGCAGUUUCUUUCAGCCCCACUACACAUGUCCAGUGGGCUGGAGGUUUCAGCUUUUCCUUUCCAUCAGCCCUCACCCUAGCCUGACCCCCAGCAGAAGGUGCUGUUUGCAGCUUCCGUUCUCUUUCUCCUCCCAGCCCCAUCUCACCGUAGCUCUGGGCUUUCACUUCUCCUGUCCUUUAGGGAGCAUCCCUGCAUUCCUGGAGACAGCAUUCCAGGUGUGGCCUCACCAGUGCUAAGCGAAGAAGGGCCAUGUCCCUUCACCCAAUGGAAACUCUUCCUAACACAGCUCCCUACUGUUAGUUGAAGUUUCUGCCUUUCCUUUGGCAGAUCCUUUCCAGCCCUUUUCCAGCUGUAACUCUGCAGGAAUGGGAUUUAUUCAGCCUCAAUCAGAAAAGGCAGAAGGAGAACUUCAUUGCUGUUUGCAGCUGUCCAAUGAGAGGGUGUAGAGAAGAUGGAGCCAGGCUCUUCCCAGAGGCACAAAGUGACAGGACAAGAGGCCACAAGAUGCAUCUGGGACUUGGAAAACUCCAGAUAGAUCUUAAGGGAGCAAGCAUCACAACAAGGUUGGUUAAACACUGGAAGAGGUGCCCAGGGAUCCAGCAGGCUCUCCAUCCUCAAAGAUGCUAAAAAUUCAGCUUGCUGAAGCUCUGAGUAGCCUGACCUGGUUUUAAAGCUGUCUGAGCUUGAGCAGGGAGGUUGGGCCAGAGGCCAACCGGAGAUCCCUUUCUACCUGAGUUACUGUCCAAUCCUGCUCCUGUGAACCUCAGCCUUUGUAAAUUUGGAGCCUAAUCUCAUAACCUUGAUGAAAGGAAGGUGUUAUGUCUUUAGAAGUAGAUUUAGACUUUGUAAAGCCUACUCUGCUUUGGGCAGCAGUUUCAUGGGACCAACACACAGCUUCCCAGCACCUAUGGACAGUAGGAAAUAAUUGUAGCUGACCUAAAAUUUCCUUCACAUUGAUUUUCAGGAUUAGGACAGAUGUCCAAAUUUAUGCCUUGCCUAUCCUGUGCAGUUUAAAGGAAAUUGGGAACUCAGGCCCUUUAGAAAGACUCUGGAGUGGUAAUGGCAAGGGGAAGGAAUUUAAUGCCUGGAGGUGAAAGUUGGGAAAGUCCCAAAUGACUCAGUUUCUGCUGCCCUUUUCGCUGAGUGAAGAGAAAAAGCCCUUCCUGUGUUCACCUCCUCGUCUCUCACCUAUAAGCAAAUUAAAAUCUCCUCAAUAUUGCCCAUUUUGACUGGAAGCAUUGGAUAGCUGCUUCCUUAAAUUUUUCUACCUGCAAUAGACUUGACAUUCUCACUGACAUUUUAUCCCUUUUACAAAGUGGCUCCAGAGUGCCUCAGCAUAGGGAGUUUUUCCUCCUUUUCUCCCCUUUCUUUCUCUUCUUCUUCCCUGCCUAAACAGCUGUUGGAAAGCAAAGGAGGCAUUAAAAGGAGACAUCCUCACUGUGGGAGCAGGGAAGGGGCUGCUGCCCCUGGCUCAGUGCAGUGUUAGAUAAGGGCAGACUCGCUCUGGCAUCGUGGUGAGUUCCAAGAGCUCACUCAGAUAUUUCCCCAGAGGGGAAAGCCUUUGCUUUCCCUCUGAAUCCAUCCAUCACCAGGCAGAGCACACUCAUCAAAAAUGUGGAAUCUGGCAUCGCUGCAGGAUCAUUAUAAGGGUUUAAAAGAGAACAUUUCACCACCCUAUAUAUCUAGUCAGGCAACACCUGACAGGUCAGCUGGGCAAGGGACUGCACUUCCCAGCUGAAGCACUGGCUUGAGAAAGUGUCAUCUACAGGCACAGGUCAGCUCAAUCCAAUCCCCCCGAGCUGGGAAGCCCAGAAACCCAGAGCUAACAUCGCAUUUACAGCAUCUGCCCAAGUUUCUGUCGUUUAUGUCUCUCUCAUAACAGUGGUGAGCCUGUUAUAUGUGCAUGUGACUUUUUCCAGUCCUUAUCUCAAUCCACUCAUCCUGCUGGCACUAAAGGCAAUGAGAUCCACAGGUGAACCUUAUCCCAUGAAAAUAGUUAUUUAUGAAUAAUAAAAAUUAAAACUGUUCAGAAAGUUUGAAGAUACUGAAAUUGAGAUGUUUAGUUAAGGCAAGGAAAAUUCUGUAUACUCCCAUUUCAUUUUUGCCAAAAAAAAAAGAAAAACAAAACCACAAAUGAUAGAAAAUCAGGAAUGUCUCCUUUUCAGCAAUAAAGCCCUAGAGAGCUAAUGUUAUCAAGCAAACUGGGAGUAAAACCAAACUCCACGUUACUUACAAUGCACUGUUUCUAUCAAUACACAGCUGAGAUUAAUUCAGGUGUGCCUGGUUUCAGUGCAGCCUGUACUUUGUUCUGCUGUCAAUGCUUUCUCAAAGUAGCAGGCCAAAGUUAAAAAUCACAUUGCAGGCUGUUUGAGUUGUCUGUUGAAGCUAAUUCAUCACAGUGAAAAAAUGGUUAUGAGAUAUUAGCAGCUACUGCAGAUUCCCUCAUUUUCCCUUUCUUUCUUUUAUUGCCUGCAUAAAGAAGACCAAUUGCUGUCAAUAGCCAAAAAAACCCCAAAACACAACUUGUUUUCUAUGACAUUAAACAAAUUCUCUCACUACCACAGCAUAUAAACGCUUUGAAGGUGAGAGAGAGUGAAAAAGAAGAAGAAAAAGAAGAAAGGAAAAAACCUAAGAAGGAAAGCAACCUAUAGGGAAGGUUUUACAGGGAAAGUGAAGCCACUAAGAGAAAAGAGGGCAUGAGGGGUGGUGAGAAAGGCUGUUCCUGAGUCGGUGUCCCAGCCCCAGCACCCAUGCACUGACCUGGACACCUGCCCACACCAUGGGUGGCACCACAGCUUCCUUCAGCCAUGUGUGGUGUCACUCUCCUUUGCCUCAAGAACAACAGAGGGCCCUGGUGCUGUGUACUGUGGUAUUGUGCUGCUUUAUCACGAAUUUCAUUUCCAGCAGCACCAAGAAAAUUCAUACUCAGGGAUGUGGUGGAGCCAAAGCCGAUAUCAAAACUAUUCUCUCUUAAGCUUUCAGAGUAGAGGCUGGAAGCAGGUAAUAGAGAAGCAUCCUUUUAUUCCCCAUGUCUUUAAAUGCAAGGAAUGGUCUUGCUGAGGAUUUUGUCAUAGGGUACAUGAUAGAGAGGGGGAGGAUGUAGGAAUUUUGGAAGAAGUAAGGGAGGAAUAUGGAAAAAUUUUUGGAGCUUCCUGUCCAAAACUGGUUUAAACUUGCUAUUUCAUCACUUUGAAAAUCAGCAGUAUUGGGCAUGAUGCAUCCUCUGGAAGCAAUUGUCAUUGGGACAUCCCCUGGAAUGCAGACAACAAGCACAGUGGGACUGCAGCACUCUCUGCAUUUAUACACAAGGGCCUAGCAUGGCACGGUGCCACAGAAACUAAUUAUACCCAGUGUUCAUGAAAUGAUGAGAAGAGGUAGAAGUAUAAUUAUCAGUUUUCCAGCAUGGCUGCUGUAUGCAGUAAGUAUGGCAGAGUUGACAUCGUAGUGGAGGCAAAUGAGUAAAAUAUCUUUUUAUUUCACCAGUAAAAUUUUUUAACUUUUACUACUGUUUGAAAUCCUGAUGUUCUCAGCAGAAGUGAUGGCCUGGAAAAUUUUUCUUUUGCCUGAUUUUCCCCCUAAUCAUCUGUGGACAAUUAAUUGCCACCUAUUAGCAUCCCAGCCCUUGUUAAAAUAGGCCUCCUUUCUUUUUUUUUUUUUUUUUUCUAACCAGAGUUAUUAAAAAAGAUCAUUUCAGCAUAGUGUGGUGGACUUGUCAUAAACAUUUAAGAUGUUCCAAAGUGUCAUAUUUUCUAGGCAGUAUAAUAGCAUUCCAUUUAUUGUUUCCCAAGGACUAAACAUGGAAAUGAAUGGCUUUAUGAAGAAGGUAGUCUUCUAGUGAAAUUGCUUGAUUCCAUUCUUCCACCAUCAGGCUCCUCAGCAAAAUAAUUUCCCUUUAAUUAAGCUAUAUGAUGUAAAUAUCAUGGCAAUUGAUUUAAUAAAAAUAUAUGAUGCAAAAUAACAUGAGGAAAAACACCUUAAAGAAAAGCAGAAGGAUUCCCUGAGCAGAGGAGGUAAUGGGAAAACUACUGGAAAUGAGGUAAGAAAAACAAUAAAAGGGAAGCUUUUAUAGAUUUUUUUCACCAUUUCUCUUUUUGUAACAGUUGGAUGGAUGUAUCCCUUGCUACCUUCCUCAUUUUCUACUGUAAAAGAUGUCUGAGAAGCUGUCAUUUUUUCUCUCUUCUACCCAAUUAUUCAUCUAUUUUUUUAAUUAAUAAUACAACCAGUUCUGAUGUUAAUGUGUUCUGGAGUAAGUACACAUACUUUUCUGACCUACUUUUUAAUCUAUGUAUUUGCCUUUCAAGUGAGAGAUGUUUUCUGUUUCUUGUCCAAACCCUUGUGCUAAUACUCUUGUGCCCUGUUGCACAAGUGCUACUGCUAAUGUUUAUGUUCUAGAAAACCUGUGGGACAAUGUAAAGGCAGGAUAUCCUCUGCCUGCACUCACUUCAAAUCCUGUUUGUUUACAGUGUGGAGGUGGCAGGGACAUCCAGUUGUGGACAUUCAUAACACAGUAUGGUGUAAUUUUUUGGGACAUCCUUAGGAAAAUGUAUCUCUCUGUAGCGCAUCUUUUCUCUCUGUCCCGGCCUCCUCAGGAGCCAUGGAAAGGCAGCUUCCUGGCUGUCAUUUGCCAUCAUCCAACCCUUUAUGGUGCAGAUGAUCCCCAGAAGUUACUGCUGCAGAAAGCAGGAUUUCCAUCCGUGCUAUCUCUGCCCAGGGAUGUUGACAGGAGGAAAGCUGUUAAGUGGUCCAUAUGGACCAGCUGGACAGAGGAUAUGGAGUCACAGCUAAAUGAUAAACUCCUGGAAAUGACUGAAAAGUUGCAAGAACAUGAGAAAGACUGCAAGGAGAGGGAAGGUACCCAGAGAGUGCUGUGAAAAUGUUGACUGUAGCAAAGCUUGGGUAAACUUUGGCAGCCCAGAUCCAGAAAAACGUGAUUUUCACAUGGGUGCUUGACUCUUCUUGAGGGCACUGCUAGCUGGAUAAGAGCUCUUAUGGUUUCAGGGACUCAACAUGUGUCUGAGGUAGCAUCAGGCAGUCUGAUUUUAAUGUGAUUAGUUGCAACUCUCAUGUCUGCAAAAUUAGCCCAACAGCCUCAUAAGAACAAUUGUUUUGGAAAGAGAUAGGAUUUUUUCCCAAGUUUUCUUUAAGGCAAAAAUCUUUGAAUGUCAUUCUGUGGACAUUGCUUGUUUUGACCUCAGCCAGCAUCAGAAAAAAAUAAGCUCAAAUACAAAAUGUUUUCUUUUGGUUUUAGGAUUAAAUUAAGUUUUUUUAGGACUCCUUUAGAAACAGAAAUACAUCUCAGCUCAGGCUGGGGCCAGAGCUUCAGAUUCAGAUCUUAUUUUAGUUUAAUUUUCUUUACUGAACCAAACCAUCAGUCUUUCCUGGCAGGCAGUCUACCCCAACCAGAAUAUUUUCCAUAGUGAGCUCCAGAUAGCCAGCAUACUAAUGUCUGCCUUUAAAGAAAGAAGAAAUACCCUGAGUCCUGAUGCAUUCAAUCAAAACAGCAAACAGUGAUUUCCAACCAGCCUUUUCCACAACAGACUAAAGCAAGGGGAGAAGCAAUCAUUGCUUUCUGAAAUCAGCCAUGUCAGCCCUUGACACAAAGGAGGUUGGUGAAGAAAGGUUAGCUCUGGUGUCAUCGUGCCAUUAGGUCUGAACGCCUCUGAGAGAUCUCUAGUACAGCCUGCCAUUCACAGACCCCCAAGGAUUUCUUUUUUAAAUGAAAGGUUGCAAAAAUCUCAUUCCCUAUUCCAGCACUGCACACACAACAUGUUCCCCUUCCCCCCAUCCGUCACAAGCAGCUAAUGGGAAUCAGGUCCUUAAUGGAGGACAAUGGCAAUUCUGCACAGGUGGGAAGGCAUAAAACAUUGGCCAGCCAACCAGUCUUGAUUCAUGGCCAAUGAAAUAUUAAUACAUGACCUUCAUAAUUUUCCCUUUCCAUUAAAAACCUCAGGACACUGGAAAUAAAGUGUUUAAAAACACUUCUGCUUCCUGGUAAUCAGUGUUUCAAAGAUAAAUAAAAAUAUAUCUGUGCUCCUUGAAUUUGUGAUCAGAAAGCUUCCUCCAGAGUGAGUCCAGCCUUAUUUACCACUGUUCUUUUUAAAGGAUUUUGAAUGCAGCUGAAUGUGAGAGAUACAUAAUUGCAUAUCCAACCAACACUUGCCCCUGAAGAGGAAGAGAUAAAAGGUUCAUUCUUCAGCCACACCAUUCCUGGAUUUUUUACAGUGAGCCCUCCUGCCCAACAGUAUUCAAGAAAGCUGUGUAUGGUCUAAAAGACUGGAGCUACGCAUAACACAAAUGCAGCUGUCUAGAAGAAAAAGGAAAUACAGCUUGGGGGCUAGAAACACAAACCACAAAUGCCAGAGGUGCAUCACUAGUUGCACCACAAGCUUUGGAUAGUAAUAUUGUUACCCUCUUUUCUGAACCGGGUUAUCCUGGUAUUACGUAGACUGCCCUAUGGUUUUGUGUCACUGUGCAGCAAAACCAAACAUGGACCAGAAAAUAAAAUCAGAAGUGUGUGAAGGGAGGAAGUGCUGUGGGAAGAAAGAGGUCUAUAACAACACCUGACUAAGCACCAAAUGUCAUCUCAGUCAUCAAUGCAAGGAGGAAGACCUCCGGAGCUUCUUUCCCAAGCAGUUCAAAUUCCCUUCUCACUGUUGUCUCUGCAAGGAGCACAGGACAGAUGUGUCACUGCUUGGGACAACACCGCUCGUGCCUGCAGUGCUCAGGGCUGUGCCCUUGCCAUGGGGUGGCCAGGACACUCACUCCAAAGUCCUCUCACUAGGCAGCCCCAGUGACUGAGAGACAUAAACUCACUGUUAUGUGUUGGAGUGGGGGUUAAUCCAAAGUGCUUUAAGUGCCAGAGGUGGCUGUGUCACGUACACCUCAGUGGUGCCUGUGUGAAGGGCAUGAGAUUGGUCCCCCAGGACAAGGCAGGAGGCUUCAGGGCCUGCUGAGGACACUGCUUGGCUUUUCCUGGGAGAGAAGAGCUGAAUAUGAUGACAUCUGUGGCCACAAGUCUGUGUGUGCUGUUCCCCCAUCACUCAUGCUCAGAUUUCCUCUGGGGGGGAGAUGAUUGAUUUACUCCAGAAGGAAUGAACUACCACACAGGCACUGCAGAAAGCAAGGGAAAAAGCUGAGGAGAGAGUAAAGAUAAUCCCAGCUCAAAUCUUUACUUUAAUUGUAUCCCGGGCUGCAAUCCCCACAAUAAAACAGAGCAUUGGUCUCUACACUUAC